rnacentral:rRNA from 1 species
GAUGAACGCUGGCGGCGUGCCUAAUACAUGCAAGUCGAGCGAACAGACGAGGAGCUUGCUCCUCUGACGUUAGCGGCGGACGGGUGAGUAACACGUGGAUAACCUACCUAUAAGACUGGGAUAACUUCGGGAAACCGGAGCUAAUACCGGAUAAUAUAUUGAACCGCAUGGUUCAAUAGUGAAAGACGGUUUUGCUGUCACUUAUAGAUGGAUCCGCGCCGCAGUAGCUAGUUGGUAAGGUAACGGCUUACCAAGGCAACGAUGCGUAGCCGACCUGAGAGGGUGAUCGGCCACACUGGAACUGAGACACGGUCCAGACUCCUACGGGAGGCAGCAGUAGGGAAUCUUCCGCAAUGGGCGAAAGCUUGACGGAGCAACGCCGCGUGAGUGAUGAAGGUCUUCGGAUCGUAAAACUCUGUUAUUAGGGAAGAACAAAUGUGUAAGUAACUAUGCACGUCUUGACGGUACCUAAUCAGAAAGCCACGGCUAACUACGUG